rnacentral:rRNA from 1 species
AGUGAACGCUGGCGGUAGGCCUAACACAUGCAAGUCGAACGGCAGCACAGUAAGAGCUUGCUCUUACGGGUGGCGAGUGGCGGACGGGUGAGGAAUACAUCGGAAUCUACUUUUUCGUGGGGGAUAAUGUAGGGAAACUUACGCUAAUACCGCAUACGACCUACGGGUGAAAGCAGGGGAUCUUCGGACCUUGCGCGAUUGAAUGAGCCGAUGUCGGAUUAGCUAGUUGGCGGGGUAAAGGCCCACCAAGGCGACGAUCCGUAGCUGGUCUGAGAGGAUGAUCAGCCACACUGGAACUGAGACACGGUCCAGACUCCUACGGGAGGCGGCAGUGGGGAAUAUUGGACAAUGGGCGCAAGCCUGAUCCAGCCAUACCGCGUGGGUGAAGAAGGCCUUCGGGUUGUAAAGCCCUUUUGUUGGGAAAGAAAAGCAGCAGGUUAAUACCCCGCUGUUCUGACAGUACCCAAAGAAUAAGCACCGGCUAACUUCGUG